GAUGAACGCUAGCGGCAGGCUUAACACAUGCAAGUCGAGGGGUAGAAGUUGCUUGCAACUUUGAGACCGGCGCACGGGUGCGUAACGCGUAUGCAAUCUACCUUAUACAGAGGGAUAGCCCAGAGAAAUUUGGAUUAAUACCUCAUAGUAUAAUUGAAUGGCAUCAUUUAAUUAUUAAAGUUCCAACGGUAUAAGAUGAGCAUGCGUCCUGUUAGCUAGAUGGUAAGGUAACGGCUUACCAUGGCAACGAUAGGUAGGGGUCCUGAGAGGGAGAUCCCCCACACUGGUACUGAGACACGGACCAGACUCCUACGGGAGGCAGCAGUGAGGAAUAUUGGACAAUGGGCGCAAGCCUGAUCCAGCCAUGCCGCGUGCAGGAAGAAGCAUCUAUGGUGUGUAAACUGCUUUUGUACGGGAAGAAACACUCCUUCGUGAAGGAGCUUGACGGUACCGUAAGAAUAAGGAUCGGCUAACUCCGUGCCAGCAGCCGCGGUAACAC
rnacentral:rRNA from 1 species